GGUCUCAUGGUGUAACGGUUAGCACAUUGCACUCUGAAUUCAGCGAUCCGAGUUCAAAUCUCGGUGAGACCU
rnacentral:tRNA from 1 species